CCUACGGGAGGCAGCAGUGAGGAAUAUUGGUCAAUGGACGAGAGUCUGAACCAGCCAAGUAGCGUGAAGGAUGACUGCCCUAUGGGUUGUAAACUUCUUUUAUAUGGGAAUAAAACGUUCCACGAGUGGGAUUUUGUAUGUACCAUAUGAAUAAGGAUCGGCUAACUCCGUGCCAGCAGCCGCGGUAAUACGGAGGAUUCGUGCGUUAUCCGGAUUUAUUGGGUUUAAAGGGAGCGUAGGUGGAUUGUUAAGUCAGUUGUGAAAGUUUGCGGCUCAACCGUAAAAUUGCAGUUGAAACUGGCAGGCUUGAGUGCAGUAGAGGUAGGCGGAAUUCGUGGUGUAGCGGUGAAAUGCGUAGAUAUCACGAAGAACUCCGAUUGCGAAGGCAGUUCACUGGACUGCAACUGACACUGAGGCUCGAAAGUGUGGGUAUCAAACAGGAUUAGAUACCCCAGUAGUC
rnacentral:rRNA from 1 species